ACGUUUUGGAGCUAAAGGUUCCUCCGGUCUCUCUGCAUUUGGUUACUAUUUAGCUCUCCAUCUCCAGACUCAUUGAAGUUUUUCCCUUUUUCUCUGUCAACGACGAUGUUCACGCUUCUUUUCUAUAUUAAUCCCGAAAAUCAAUUUCCUUUUAUGGUUGGAUUGUCUCAUUAUCAAUUUAUAGUAAUCAUCCUGAUUUUCAGAAUUUUCUUAUAUAAACUCUUGGGUCCAAAAUCAAGGUGAAGCAGUUGUUGUGUUAUUGACUGGUGAUCCGUGCAUACUAGGUUAUUUUUCGUUCGGGUUUUCAGCACCAAUUCCGACCAAUCCAUCCAUUACGGGGAGAAAUGGAAUUGGGUAUCAUUGCCUCCUUCAGGUAGUCCAAAAAAUGGCAGCAAUAUCUGCAGCUGUUAUCGCCAUACAAUUACCACCAAUGUCAAAGCAAUUAAGAUCCUUAUUGUACGUCUCUAGUAUAUCAAUAACAUCAUAGUCGUUCUUCCAUGCAUCACUUGUCGCAAUGCCUUCUCUGUAUGUCCUGAAUAAGCCCCCAAAAUGGUGUCCUCUCCAUAAGUUCUAGGUGGAUAGGUUUGAUAUGAUUUUGAAAUUUUUGGUAGGCUUCUACAAAGGUCCCCAUGUUAGACUUGUAUCGUGGGAAUGAAUAUUCACUCCUCUUUCGUUCCAUAAUUCCUGUAACCUGUGGAUUCAUAUAAGAUGGAAACUCAUCAGGGUUUAAAAAAUGAUUGAAAUGCAUCAUGUAUUACAACAAGAUGGUCCUCGGUGGAUUGAAACAUAAUUAGUACAAAUGGUACCAGCUUUUUCAUACCUUGAA